rnacentral:rRNA from 1 species
UACGAAGGGGGCUAGCGCUGUUCGGAAUUACUGGGCGUAAAGGGCGUGUAGGCGGCCCGUAAAGUCAGGCGUGAAAUUCCUGGGCUCAACCCUGGACGUGCGCCUGAUACUGGCGGGCUUGAGUCCGGGAGAGGAUGGUGGGACUCCCAGUGUAGAGGUGAAAUUCGUAGAUAUUGGGAAGAACACCCGUGGCGAAGGCGGCCAUCUGGACCGGUACUGACGCUAAGGCGCGACAGCGUGGGGAGCAAACAGG